CCUUUUCCUCAUAUAUUUUUCCUAGAUUCUUGCCUUCAAUCUGUAACUCCUAUCAUUAACAAAAUAUUUCCCAUUUUGUUUAGAAAUUAGGUUGAAUAUCUUCUGAAAAUGACGAAAACAAGGGCUGCCAAAAAACCCACCUCCAACCGAGAAAUCUCUUCAUCUCUCUCAGCCCGCCUCCGACGCAAGCUCUCCGCCAUCGCGACCGCCAUCGAGUUCGAUUUUGCUGCAGCCCUCAGCUAACUAUUUGUCUCAAGCCCGCCGCUGCCAAGCUGCCGCCGUACGUCCAAAAAUCGCAGAUAUGAAGCCAUGGAGGAGACGACAGAAACGUCAAAAAAUCCGUUGAUGUCAAGUUUUUUUCUGCAAACUGAUGAAAAAAACGAUGAACGAAGGCGGUUUGAGUUGAACGAAGAAAGCAGUCGUUGGAGUGGGACGAAGAUAGGCGAAUGAUGAACGAAAGCGAACGAUAAACGAAGGCGCGGUGUCUGGCAGCUGUUGUCUUUUUUUAUUAUAAUUGGGAUAUUGGCAAUGAUGUACAAAUAAUUAAGGUUAACUAUAUGUUUUUUAAUGGUUAAUUAAUAGUUAACUGACUUUUUAUGAA